rnacentral:rRNA from 1 species
GAGUUUGAUCCUGGCUCAGGACGAACGCUGGCGGCGCGCCUAACACAUGCAAGUCGAACGAGCGAGAGAGAGCUUGCUUUCUCAAGCGAGUGGCGAACGGGUGAGUAACGCGUGAGGAACCUGCCUCAAAGAGGGGGACAACAGUUGGAAACGACUGCUAAUACCGCAUAAGCCCACAGCUCGGCAUCGAGCAGAGGGAAAAGGAGCAAUCCGCUUUGAGAUGGCCUCGCGUCCGAUUAGCUAGUUGGUGAGGUAAUGGCCCACCAAGGCGACGAUCGGUAGCCGGACUGAGAGGUUGAACGGCCACAUUGGGACUGAGACACGGCCCAGACUCCUACGGGAGGCAGCAGUGGGGAAUAUUGCACAAUGGGGGAAACCCUGAUGCAGCGACGCCGCGUGGAGGAAGAAGGUCUUCGGAUUGUAAACUCCUGUUGUUGAGGAAGAUAAUGACGGUACUCAACAAGGAAGUGACGGCUAACUACGUGCCAGCAGCCGCGGUAAAACGUAGGUCACAAGCGUUGUCCGGAAUUACUGGGUGUAAAGGGAGCGCAGGCGGGAAGACAAGUUGGAAGUGAAAUCUAUGGGCUCAACCCAUAAACUGCUUUUCAAACUGUUUUUCUUGAGUAGUGCAGAGGUAGGCGGAAUUCCCGGUGUAGCGGUGGAAUGCGUAGAUAUCGGGAGGAACACCAGUGGCGAAGGCGGCCUACUGGGCACCAACUGACGCUGAGGCUCGAAAGUGUGGUAGCAAACAGGAUUAGAUACGCUGGUAGUCCACACCGUAAACGAUGAUUACUAGGUGUUGGAGGAUUGACCCCUCCAGUGCCGCAGUUAACACAAUAAGUAAUCCACCUGGGGAGUACGACCGCAAGGUUGAAACUCAAAGGAAUUGACGGGGGCCCGCACAAGCAGUGGAGUAUGUGGUUUAAUUCGACGCAACGCGAAGAACCUUACCAAGUCUUGACAUCCUGCGACGCACAUAGAAAUAUGUGUUUCCUUCGGGACGCAGAGACAGGUGGUGCAUGGUUGUCGUCAGCUCGUGUCGUGAGAUGUUGGGUUAAGUCCCGCAACGAGCGCAACCCUUACUGUCAGUUACUACGCAAGAGGACUCUGGCAGGACUGCCGUUGACAAAACGGAGGAAGGUGGGGAUGACGUCAAAUCAUCAUGCCCUUUAUGACUUGGGCUACACACGUACUACAAUGGCGUUAAACAAAGAGAAGCAAGACCGCGAGGUGGAGCAAAACUCAGAAACCACGUCCCAGUUCGGACUGCAGGCUGCAACUCGCCUGCACGAAGUCGGAAUUGCUAGUAAUCGUGGAUCAGCAUGCCACGGUGAAUACGUUCCCGGGGCUUGACACACCGCCCGUC